rnacentral:lncRNA from 13 species
AGAGCCUCCCUUUACACUGAGCACACUGUCAGAAAGAGCGCAGCAGAGAGUGGGAGGGAGAAAAGAAAAUGUGGAAUUGAGGAUGGGGGGGCACAGAGGGGAAAGAGGGAGGGUGUGAGUGAAAGAGAGGGAGGGACGUCAUGCUCUGGAUUACAACCAGAGUGUGUUGGGGAGACUGAGUAUGCUGCACGCUACUGCUUUGCAGGAAAAUUUGUUUUACUUUCAACUUUACAUUGGGGAAAACGUUUUUCACAAAAUUGCUUCACUCAGAUACAGAGCUGUGAAAGCCUGUCUACAGAUGACGAGGUCCCAAAGAAGAGUAGUGGUUCUCAGUCCUGGUCCUGGGGACUCAAAGGGAUGGAUGUUUUUGGCCUCGGCACUACACAGCUGAUUCAAAUGAUCAACUCCUCAAGCUUCAAGUGAUACCUUGCAACUGGAGAUUCCUUCAAAACGAUUGCCUACAGUUACCGUGUAGGGCACUGCAAGGUUUGGAGACCAGGGCCAUCUUGGACUGCCUCCUAGGGGAAUUCAGGCACCUCUGCACCUGUGAAGGCUACCUGUGUCCUGCAUAACUUCAUGAGGUUGGACACGAGGAUCAGGAGGGGAUUUGCAGUUCGCCUCUGGUGUGCUG